ensembl:lncRNA
AUGAAUGACCCGCUCCUUCGCCGGGUGCGGUGGCGCGUGCCUGUAAUCCAAGCUACUGGGAGGCUGAGGCUGGCGGAUCGUUUGCGCUCAGGAGCUCUGAGCUGCAGCGGACUAUGUCGAUCGGGUGUCCGCACUAAUUCGGUAUCGAUAUGGUGCUUCUGGGGGAGCCCGGGACCACCAGGUCGCCUAAGGAGGGGUGCAUCGGCCCAGGAAAACCUUCGCUGUUUGUUGGUACAACACCGCCUCCUCCUGGACAAGAGAAGCAAUGACAUCAGUUUUACCGCAACAAAUGCACUCCAGCAACAUCCCGAGUGCCUUCUGCUCUAUGGGCCGCACACAAGUAUGAUGUUGGGUUAAUAGCAGAUUUUGAACCAGUGUUCAUCACACCAAAAUCUGACUAUUGCCCAUGCAAACCACAGUAUCCACUAAAAUCAGAGGCAAUUGAAGGCAUCACUCCUGUUUUUAACUCUCUUCUCACAGCAGGUGUCAUUGUCUUCUUUGAGAACUGAUCUGUUCGUACGCCGCUUUUUCCGGUAAAGAAAAUUUGGAAUAAGGGACAGCCGGCUGAAUGGAGGAAAUGCCAGGGCAGAUGCUGCUGCCAAAGCUGCAGGUCGCCUGCCGCCGAUCACACGUGCCUGUCUGAUUCAUUUCCUGUGUCGCCUGCUCCAUCACUUUCUUCCUUGCCGGACAUGCAAACUUUUGCAACUCCUCAGGAACACGCCGUUUGGGCACGAGCAGGUGCCACAAAGGAAGAUGAUAUUUGGCUAGGCCCGGAUGGCAAACCAGGUCUCCCUAAACAUUUCUUUCCACAUUUUCCACCAGAGUGGAGACCAACAGUAACACUCUUGUAAACAAGAGGCAGCGUUGAACGUCCAGCUGAGGUGUGAGCCAAGCGCCGCCUGAAGCUGCACCGUUGAAUCACACUUUAAACCAUAUACACGAUCCUGAGAAAACACAUACACGAGCAGCCAUGAGUUGCCCACGUUGGACGACGUGUAGACUCUUCGCAUCAUCACAUCACAGGAGUGACAGGGACUCAGGCGACAUUGGGAGGGAAACCUGGCGGUGAUAACAAAUCCCAAGUGUCUCUGUUGUCAGCUGAUCACAACCCUGAAAAGACUCAGACUUGUGCCAACUGAAUAGAACCAAAACCUGUGAUUGCAGGUAAAAUUGACAUUGCUUGCUCACAGGCUAGACCAGCUUCUAGACCAGUUCUGCAAAAUAGAAUGGUUCUACACAAGCUCACAAAUUAUUUGAGCAAUGUUAUUACAGCAAUGCAAAUCCACAACGAGACACCUAACGAGUAUGAAGAAACAGACUUGUCUCUCCUCUCAGACCGUGAGGAGGAUGAUAUGUCUAGGUUGGAAGGAGACUCAACAAAAGAAGAAACCCAGUGAAUUCAUAUACAUGAUGUAUUAUGUUAGAAGUCUACCAUAUAAAAUUUUCAUUGUUAAUGGUUGGUCAAUGAAUGACCAAAAGGGGGGAAUUGUGAUGGACAUUUUAUAUCACCCCUUAAUGCUGAUCAUUUGCAUUAUUAAUGUCUUAAUAAUCAUCUGAUUGUUUCUGAUUCAUGUUUAUAUUCUUAAGUGUUGAUCAUACACAACCUUAAAUAUUCUAUGCAUUGUUCAAGUAUAUUGCUGCAAGCAUCUGAGCAAGAGGGGUCCUCAGUUAUCAUUUGAGCAGGAAGCAUAGUUCUGAUUUGAUCAGAGAUCAGUCAGACACUGUGAGACAGUGUCUGACUGUCUCACUGAUGACUCUGUGACGUACAGUAGUGUUUGACUACAGAAUGCUCCCUGAGUGAGGCCUCCCUCUUUUCUCAUCUUUGCUCAUGUAGACUUGGCAAAUUGUCCUGAAGUUUGAGCUCAUGUGUGGAGGUUUUGCGUUAUCUGUAGGCUUUAAAACUCGGGACAGGAGGAGAAGUUGUCAGAGAACCUUGGUGUGCACUUUGUGUGAGCAUCAACUUGUUCUCUCCACCCGGGUGACUUUCUUUUACCUAUUCUUUUCCUUUCUUUUUCAAUUUUUCUAUAUGCAUAUGCAGAAAUAAAUUCACAAAGACAACUUUUUGAAUUAUUCUC